rfam:Kwoniella mangroviensis CBS 10435 unplaced genomic scaffold supercont2.1, whole genome shotgun sequence.
GCAACCCCGUGGCAUAAGAUAACAUUGGAACGAUACAGAGAAGAUUAGCAUUGCCCCUGCAUAAGGAUGACAAACUCUGAGCGGAGAGGUGGUUCUUCGGAACCAAAUAUUU